CAACCACCAAAUGAAACUGCAGAAAACACCCAGGACAGGUAAAUUAUUGUGUCAUUUGCUCUGGCAGACACAAAGGGGGGGGGGGGUUACCUAGCCACAAGGUGUUUGCAGUCAAGAGGUACUCAAUAGCUAACUGAAUAAGA